UAACGCGGUAGCAAUACUGGCGACGACCGGCGCACGGGUGCGUAACGCGUAUGCAAUUUGCCCAUAACAGGGGGAUAGCCCGGAGAAAUCCGGAUUAAUACCCUAUAGUAUAAUGAAAAGGCAUCUUUUUAUUAUUAAAGAUUUAUCGGUUAUGGAUGAGCAUGCGUCUGAUUAGCUAGUUGGUGAGGUAAUGGCUCACCAAGGCAACGAUCAGUAGGGGGUCUGAGAGGAUGAUCCCCCACACUGGUACUGAGAUACGGACCAGACUCCUACGGGAGGCAGCAGUAGGGAAUAUUGGGCAAUGGACGAGAGUCUGACCCAGCCAUGCCGCGUGUAGGAAGAAGGCUUUCUGAGUUGUAAACUACUUUUGAUUGGGAACAAAAGAUCCCUGCGGGGAGCAUUGAGUGUACCAAUAGAAUAAGCACCGGCUAACUCCGUGCCAGCAGCCGCGGUAAUACGGAGGGUGCAAGCGUUGUCCGGAUUUAUUGGGUUUAAAGGGUGCGUAGGCGGCUAAUUAAGUCAGCGGUGAAAUUCUACAGCUUAACUGUAAGAACUGCCAUUGAUACUGGUUGGCUUGAGUACAGAUGAGGUAGGCGGAAUUGACAGUGUAGCGGUGAAAUGCUUAGAUAUUGUCAAGAACACCUAUUGCGAAGGCAGCUUACUAAACUGUAACUGACGCUGAGGCACGAAAGCGUGGUGAUCAAACAGGAUUAGAUACCCUGGUAGUCCACGCUGUAAACGAUGAUUACUCGAUGUGUGCGAUAGACAGUACGCGUCCAAGCGAAAGCGUUAAGUAAU
rnacentral:rRNA from 1 species